rnacentral:rRNA from 1 species
GACGAACGCUGGCGGCGUGCCUAAUACAUGCAAGUCGAGCGGACCACUUCGGUGGUCAGCGGCGGACGGGGGAGUAACACGUGGGCAACCUGCCUGUAAGACUGGGAUAACAGCGGGAAACCGGUGCUAAUACCGCAUAAUCCUUUCCUUCACAUGAGGGAAAGCUGAAGGACGGUUUCGGCUGUCACUUACAGAUGGGCCCGCGGCGCAUUAGCUAGUUGGUGAGGUAACGGCUCCCCAAGGCAACGAUGCGUAACCGACCUGAGAGGGUGAUCAGCCACACUGGGACUGAGACACGGCCCAGACUCCUACGGGAGGCGGCAGUAGGGAAUCUUCCGCAAUGGACGAAAGUCUGACGGAGCAACGCCGCGUGAGCGAUGAAGGCCUUCGGGUCGUAAAGCUCUGUUGUUAGGGAAGAACAAGAACCGGAGUAAAUGCCGGUACUUUGACGGUACCUGACCAGAAAGCCACGGCUAACUACGUGCCAGCAGCCGCCGUAAUAC